AUUGAACGCUGGCGGCAGGCUUAACACAUGCAAGUCGAGCGGGGGAAGGUAGCUUGCUACCGGACCUAGCGGCGGACGGGUGAGUAAUGCUUAGGAAUCUGCCUAUUAGUGGGGGACAACAUCUCGAAAGGGAUGCUAAUACCGCAUACGUCCGACGGGAGAAAGCAGGGGAUCUUCGGACCUUGCGCUAAUAGAUGAGCCUAAGUCAGAUUAGCUAGUUGGUGGGGUAAAGGCCUACCAAGGCGACGAUCUGUAGCGGGUCUGAGAGGAUGAUCCGCCACACUGGGACUGAGACACGGCCCAGACUCCUACGGGAGGCAGCAGUGGGGAAUAUUGGACAAUGGGGGGAACCCUGAUCCAGCCAUGCCGCGUGUGUGAAGAAGGCCUUAUGGUUGUAAAGCACUUUAAGCGAGGAGGAGGCUACUUUAGUUAAUACCUAGAGAUAGUGGACGUUACUCGCAGAAUAAGCACCGGCUAACUCUGUGCCAGCCGCCGCCGUAA
rnacentral:rRNA from 1 species